AACUGCUCAUCCUGUCAAAAUAAAAAAAGCUUCAACUGCUCAUCUCCUCAACUCACACCCUCUCCGGUCCGCCCUCUUCUUUUUCUUUCUUCCGAUGACUGGUUGGCACUUCCGACGACAUCCCGACGUUUCUCAGGUGGUGAGGUAGGUGGCGGCUAGAGUUCAGCGGCGAGGCUAGCGGCAAGUUCGGCUGCAAGCAUAUGUGAAAACUUAAUACAUAGAACAAGCUAAAGUUGACUGAAACACCAACCAAUUUUUCACGAUCUACGGCGAGAAUAAUGUAUGACAUGAUGAAUGAGCCACUCGUUCUUCCAACACGAUCUUGAAGGAUCAUCCAAACCUAUUGAAGUGGAACAGGAACCAUACUAUGUCAGAUUAUUUGAGAAGACCAAAAAAUAAGGAACAAUGGGUCGUGACCAUCUUCCCAAAUUAUCAAAGGAAAGCCAUAUGAAGUAUGACAAGGCUUGGAUUAUGUGAAUUUCUUUGUAGAUUAUGGGUAGUGCUAAUUAGUUUUUUUUUUAGAUUUCCUUUGAAUUUUGUAAGACAUUUAAGUUACAUAGGAUGUCGAAUUUGAAGAUUAUUUUGUACUCCACCGGUUGUCUACAAUUUGCUAUUCCAUGAAUACUUCUUCUAUCAUAUCAUACUUUUGUUUCUAAUAAGUUUAUA